AACGAACGCUGGCGGCGUGCUUAAGACAUGCAAGUCGUGCGAGAAAGCCACCUUCGGGUGGUGAGUAAAGCGGCGCACGGGUGAGUAACGCGUGGAUAAUCUACCUGUAGGUCCGGGAUAACUCCGGGAAACUGGGGCUAAUACCGGAUAAGACCACGGGGCCCUCGGGUCCUGCGGAAAAAGGUGGCCUCUUCUUGAAAGCUAUCGCCUAUCGAUGAGUCCGCGUCCCAUUAGCUUGUUGGUGAGGUAAGAGCUCACCAAGGCUUCGAUGGGUAGCUGGUCUGAGAGGAUGAUCAGCCACACUGGAACUGAGACACGGUCCAGACUCCUGCGGGAGGCAGCAGUCGGGAAUUUUGGGCAAUGGGGGAAACCCUGACCCAGCAACGCCGCGUGAGGGAUGAAGGCCCUCGGGUCGUAAACCUCUGUCGGAAGGGAAGAAAGGUCUGCGCUCUAAUACAGCGGGGGCUUGACGGUACCUUCAAAGGAAGCACCGGCUAACUCCGUG
rnacentral:rRNA from 1 species